rnacentral:rRNA from 1 species
CUCGGGAAACUGGGGGUAAUACCGUAUACGCCUUCGGGAAGGAUUAUCGAGAAGGAUCGCCGCGUUGGAUUAGGUAGUUGGUGGGGUAAGUGGCCUACCAAGCCGACGAUCCAUAGCUGGUUUGAGAGGAUGAUCAGCCACACUGGGACUGAGACACGGCCCAGACUCCUACGGGAGGCAGCAGUGGGGAAUCUUAGACAAUGGGCGCAAGCCUGAUCUAGCCAUGCCGCGUGAGCGAUGAAGGCCUUAGGGUUGUAAAGCUCUUUCAGGGGGGAAGAUAAUGACUGUACCCCCAGAAGAAGCCCCGGCUAACUCCGUG